UCUAAUAUGGCAAAUGACUGUCU
rnacentral:siRNA from 1 species